AUGGAGACCCAGGGGAGGGGUGCGCCCCAUGCCCGGGGGCACUCUCACUUCAUCCCAGGGUGGGGGCCGUCUUGGGGGUGGGGGCCAGCCUCGCUUGCCUCGCUGGGGGACCCGCCCUCCUCCUUCGGCCGUCCAGACAAGAGGUGUCUCAGUGGAGCUCAUCUCUCUAGAGGUCGUCGGGGGUCACAGCCACCAAGCCAGUCCCCGCCAGGCUGGACCUGCGCCCGCCCCGCUGCAGAGGCCGCAGUGAAGAGCCUGGGCCUGUGCACAGUACACCCCCCACCAGACCUCUGCCUCUGUCUCCCCCAGCGCAGACCCGGGCCCUUGGAGGAGCAGGAGAGGGGGGCAGGGCCCGUCGAGGGACCCGCCUGGCCUGGGCUCGGGCUCCCAGCCGGCCCCCAAGCCCUGCUCCUGGAAGGCAGCCCUGGCGGCCUGGGGGAAACAGGACCAGCGUCUUCCCUCCUUGGGGACCCCUGGCUCUUCAGACGCCCUCCAGCUGUUACACCUUUCCACGGCCCCCUCAGGGAUGACUCGCAGGCAGAUGUGCAUAUAAUGUGCACGAAUUCGCUGCUACGUGAAGUUAGUUCCCAAGCCCCCUUGCUCGCCCAAAUACCUUUGACCUCAUUUUCACAAGUACUUUAAAAAAUAGUCUUCUCAAGUCCUCAAAGCAAGAGUAUUUAUAAGUAAAUUAUAGCAAGGCUCAUAUUAUUUACGAAAAUCAUUUUUUUAAACUCUGCCCACCUUUCAAUUAAGCAGCUUUUAAACCUAACACUUAAAAAUUUUCUGGCUUGUCAAGUAAAGAAUGUUUCUUGUUUAGUACUUUUAUUUUUGCCUUCCACAAUAAUGAUACGACACGUAAGAAAUUUUUUUUUUCAAGAGGGAUUGCUCAAUAUUCAAUUCCACGAUAUUAAUUAUAACAUCUAUAAAGGAGGGUCCUUUCCAGGAGAGUCUUAGUUCUAGGCUGAGAGGCCAAGCGCACGCUAGGUUGUUAAGUUGUGUCUAACUCUUACGAUCCCGUGGACGACUGUAGCCCGCCAGGCCCCUCUGUCCAUGGAGCUCUCCAGGCAAGAACACGGGAGUGAGUGGCUGUUCCCUUCUCCAGGGCGUCUUCCCGAGCCAGGGACUGACUCCCAGUCCCGCCUUUUCCAGCUGAGCCAGUGGGCUCAGUGUCUUCCGCAGAUGCUACGGGCUUGUCAGGGUGGAGGGUCCCCAGCCCUGGAUCUUCGUCCUGACUGUGGCUCCUGGGGGUGCAUCAGAGCCCGGGGCUGGCGAGUGAAGGGCUGCAUUCUGUGUCCCAGGCAGAGUCCACACCCAACAGGGACUGCUCUCCUGCCCAGACGCUAAGGAGCCAGGUCUUCAAGGAAGACAGAGGCGAUGGGAGAUACUGCUGUGGGGGCAGAACUCCCGAUGCCAUGUGGAAUUGCCGCAUUUCACAGUCUGCCAGUUUCUGUCUUGGGGACCAGUCGGGCCUGUGGGUGUGGGCUGUCCUCAGGCCUGGGGGAAGGAGGACCACCCCCCACCUGGCCUGCCCUGGCGCUGGCCGGUUCAUAGCUCUUGCUUGGCUAUCUGUGUCCCCAUCAGCCCUCUCGUGUCUGUUCUGGCUGCGUCCUCUACUCAGAGAGAAUCCAGAAAGGUCCCACGUGGUUACUACCCCCUUGCUCCCCGAGGUCCCUUAGAGAGCUCCUAGCCGGUCUAAGAACUGCCCAGAACCUCGGAGAGCCCAGCAAGUCUGGGGGAGCCGUGUCCUGACAUCCGAGCCGCUGCUCUCGCAAUCUUCACCCGGUGGGUCGCACCCUUGUGCUUC
rnacentral:lncRNA from 1 species